GAGAACGCUGGCGGCAGGCUUAACACAUGCAAGUCGAACGAACUCUUCGGAGUUAGUGGCAGACGGGUGAGUAACGCGUGGGAACCUACCUUUAGGUACGGAACAACAGUUGGAAACGACUGCUAAUACCGUAUGUGCCCUAUGGGGGAAAGAUUUAUCGCCUAAGGAUGGGCCCGCGUUGGAUUAGCUAGUUGGUGGGGUAAAGGCUUACCAAGGCGACGAUCCAUAGCUGGUCUGAGAGGAUGAUCAGCCACACUGGGACUGAGACACGGCCCAGACUCCUACGGGAGGCAGCAGUGGGGAAUAUUGGACAAUGGGGGCAACCCUGAUCCAGCCAUGCCGCGUGAGUGAUGAAGGCCCUAGGGUUGUAAAGCUCUUUCAGCGAGGAGGAUAAUGACGUUACUCGCAGAAGAAGCCCCGGCUAACUUCGUGCCAGCAGCCGCGGUAAU
rnacentral:rRNA from 1 species